AAAGUAUGCCUGCCACCUCUACUUGACUUGAGACUCCCCCAUCAGAACUCUACCAUCCUCGCCCUUGAUGCAUCUAACUUGGUCAAGAUCACGCGCCUUUCAUUUCCCUUUCUUUAGCUAACCGGAAUAACUUUCUGUCCCGGCCUUUCUCCCAUAUUUCCUCGUACAUGCGACCAAACCCGCAUUUUUGGCUUCCGUAACGGCCAUCUUUGCUUAUUUCCUCGCCGCCUUGUAGAUCUCCCUGUUCGCUCUCUGUUCUUCCUCGCUUGUACUCCCUGCCAUAUUAGCAAACACCACCUUCUUCACCUCCAAUUUUACUUGGCCUAUAUCGUUCCACCACCAGUCACCCUGAUGUCUGCCUGAAUAGCCCUUUGCUACUCCGAGCACAU
rnacentral:lncRNA from 1 species